ACUCUGGAGUGUCUUGAGAACUAAUUGCAUUGGAGUGUUUUCUCUGUGCAAGGAAAUUGGGUUUCUCUUCUGGCUGGAAGCAGUAUAUAGACAGUGAAAACUCCCCUAGAAGGGAGUACAUGGGCUAAGUGGCUUUCAGUACCUUUAUAUGAUCAUUUGACAGGGGAAUAUUGGUCUGCAAAUUGGUGUAAUUUAGGUCAGUUUCUAUUGUGUGUAUAUAUAUAUAUAUAUAUCUACCAGCUGUCCUGGACACCAGACUAAUGCUAGUUUUGAGUUUCUGUACAGAUGAUUCAGUGUUGUCAAGGUAAUUUGCACUGGUCUGCAAGUCUUCUGAAUUUCUAUUAAGUCAAGUGGGUGAUUUUAAGGGAGUUCUUCUGCCUCAAUCCAUUCACAAAGCAAACCCUGGCAAUUGCUGUUGUGCCUUGGAGUUGUUAAGUCGGGUUUACUCAACCUCCAAUUGCUUUUACUGUAAGCAGAUAGGAAACAAUGCAUAUGAGUUAGUGACUGUUCUGUUCAUGUUUGUCUCAUAUAGGUGCAAUGGAUAUACAUAUAUAUAUCAUUUAGCAUACUUAUUUUCACUAGAAGUUACUUUGAUACUGGGGGCUUGUGAAAGGUUUCUGAGACCCAUCUGAGUCUAUUUAAAUAUUCAAGCUAUUUUGUGACAUGUUGUCCCUCUUCCUUGGGGUACAAGAUGCUGACACAAAAAGAUUUGAAGACUUUAUCCCAACACCCCAAACUCAGUUUCAGUCCAUGGCUCCUUAGGAGCACUCGGCAUUUGACCAGACAGCCAAGAGAAAUCAUCACUUGACAGAGUGACUGACAGCUUUACUCAUUUGACGUGAUGAGUGCGUGUCAGUCUGUCAGAGCACACACCGUCGUUGAGCUGGCAUAGGGUUGGUAGUCCUGUUUUCCUCCCUAUUUCAGCCGUUCCUGUUUAAUCACAGGUUUCCUCUUUUGUCUUUCCCAGGCAGUGUUACCAUGGUAACGGUGUCUCUUGACCAUGCUGCCUUCCUCCCAUCAGGGCUACCCCUGUCAGCCUCCCAUCAGCAAGGUUUCACCCAUCUCAGAACCUCUCCCUUAAAGCUGCUUUACUGGCGCACGUGCGGUUUUGGGGGAGCAAGGCAGAUGGGAGCUCUUAUUAUGUUUAAACUGUUUAUGCCGGGGAACUGCAAGUGGAAUGUCACAUACUUCUUCAUCAGUCAUAAUGAGUCAACGUAUCUACUUAUGGCAAGACUGGGAGUGGACCUAGAUAUAAAAAUGAGACUCCGUUUGUCCAUAAGAAGAUGUCUUCAUGCUCUAAGUUUGUAUCCUCUGCUUAAUCAUGUGUUAUUGUAAAAUUGGUAAGAAUGCCUGUAUACAACUUACAGGACUUCUAGCAAUAUUAAGACAUGGAGCUUUGCGUGAAUGUAUAGUUCUUGUAGGUUGAGAAUUAGAAUUGUUGGCUAGUCUCUUAAUACAAAAAACAUUUGUGCCUCUGUGACUGUGUGACAGUGGAACAAAAAAUACUUGAGUAUUUACCACACUAAUCUCAAAACCUGCGACCUUCCAUGGAAACUGCACUUCCUUGCACGUGCAAGGGAAUGACAGGGAAAGUGGCAGACUGGUUAUUUGUUCAUAAAUGGAAAAACUUUCCCCCAAAUAAAGUAGAAUGACUGUUUGUUUUAGUAAUUCCU
ensembl:lncRNA